rnacentral:misc_RNA from 1 species
GAACCUGCGGAAGGAUCAUUCCCGUGCUGCGCUGUUCAUAGGAGCUCAACCCGCAACAGCGGUGUAACCAGGUUUUUUAGCUUUGGAGGUGUCGGGUGCUGAUCCGAGGAAGGACGCAGUUACACGCGAUACUCAGCCUGAAUCGCAAAACUGCGGAUGGUCGGGUGUCUGAAUGCUCAAAGCCGAAGUUAUUGGUCACGCUCCAAAACAUCCCUUCGGUGUCUCACUUCCGCGUGAUGUGAGAUUUGCAAAAUAUU